UGGGGAAUAUUGCGCAAUGGGCGAAAGCCUGACGCAGCGGCACCGCCGCUGUAGGGAUGGGAAGUUCGAGUUCUCGGGAUCGUAAACCUCUGUCAGCAGGGAAGAAAGUUAUGCGUGCUAAUCAGCGCGUAAUUGACGGUACCUGCAAAGGAAGCACCGGCUAACUCCGUGCCAGCAGCCGCGGUAAUACGGAGGGUGCGAGCGUUAAUCGGAAUUACUGGGCGUAAAGCGCUCGUAGGUAGUAUAUCAAGUCAAGGGUGAAAUCCCCGCGCUCAACGUGGGAACUGCCUUUGAAACUGGUAGACUUGAGUGUGUGAGAGGAUAGUGGAAUUCCAGGUGUAGGAGUGAAAUCCGUAGAUAUCUGGAGGAACAUCAGUGGCGAAGGCGACUAUCUGGCACAUAACUGACACUGAGGAGCGAAGCGUGGGUAGCAAACAGGAUUAGAUACC
rnacentral:rRNA from 1 species